rnacentral:rRNA from 1 species
AGAGUUUGAUCCUGGCUCAGGACGAACGCUGGCGGCGUGCUUAACACAUGCAAGUCGAAGGGGAUUACCGGGCGGAAGGCUUCGGCCGGAAGGCUGGUAAUUCGAGUGGCGGACGGGUAGUAACGCGUGAGCAACCUGUCCCAGACAGGGGGAUAACACUUGGAAACAGGUGCUAAUCCGCAUAAGACCACGGGAUCACAUGGUCCAGGGGUAAAAGGAGCAAUCCGGUUUGGGGUGGCUCGCGUCCGAUUAGAUAGUUGGUGAGGUAAGGGCCCACCAAGUCUGCGAUCGGUAGCGAUCUGAGAGGAUGACCGGCCACAUUGGAACUGAGAGACGGUCCAAACUCCUACGGGAGCAGCAGUGGGGAAUAUUGGGCAAUGGGCGAAAGCCUGACCCAGCAACGCCGCGUGAGUAAGAAGGCUUUCGGGUUGUAAAGCUCUGUUAUAGGGGACGAAGGGAGUGACGGUACCCUUAAGGAAGCCCCGGCUAACUACGUGCCAGCAGCCGCGGUAAUACGUAGGGGGCGAGCGUGUCCGGAAUGACUGGGUGUAAAGGGCGUGUAGGCGGCCGAUUAAGUCUGGAGUGAAAGUCUGUUUUUAAGGUGGGAAUUGCUUUGGAUACUGGUUGGCUUGAGUGCGGAAGAGGUAAGGGAAUUCCCAGUGUAGCGGUGAAAUGCGUAGAGAUUGGGAGGAACACCAGUGGCGAAGGGACUUACUGGGCCGUAACUGACGCUGAGGCGCGAAAGCGUGGGGAGCGAACAGGAUUAGUACCCUGGUAGUCCACGCGGUAAACGAUGAAUGCUAGGUGUUGCGGGUAUCGACCCCUGAGUGCCGGAGUAAACACAAUAAGCAUUCCGCCUGGGGAGUACGGCCGC